AUAAAUUUGAAGAAAUUAACUAACUUUCUAUGCAUCUGGACGAAGAGCGUGUGGCUGGAUGUGCUUAUUCUGUCUAUGCAAGUCUUCCUGCAGGUUGGUGUUUAAGCUAUACUUGUGUGAAUCGAGACCGCCAUCCCAUGGUUGCUCUCAGAUUUGUUCUCAGAGAGAUAAAUGGCUGUUACCCCCCGCCCACCUUUCUUUACAGGGUGGUUGUACUGAAACAAAAGACCACGUCCUUCAUAUAUUCAGUGCUGUGUUUUGACAUGCUGUGUAUUGAGUUAAACCUCUUCCCAGCUGCCAAAAACCUUCAACUUCACUUACCUAUGGCACGUAACUUUCAGUGCUCUGAAAAGUUAUCGAAGGGCAGGAGGGCACAGGAAAAGAAUAAAACAAAGAGAUUUUACAGCCAGACUACAGUGAACCUGCAGUAUAGUUAUACUGGUACCAUAAAGGAAUCAUUUUGGAUGCUGCUACUUUUGUUUGCCAAGGUAAAUGCUAUAGCAGAGCUAUGGCCAAAUGAAUUCCUGAAAGUAAUCUUUAUUUGGUAAAGAGACAAACUAUGAUGCUACAGUAAUUUUGUAUUGCAGUACUUCACUAUGCUGUAGUUUCUCACAGGGGAGGGUUGAAUACCUAAUGUUGUUUAGGGAGCCGUGAUAGCUUUUACAUUUUUACAGAUGCUUUCUAAAAUAAGCUAACAUCACCUGCUUGUUUUCCAAGCAUUCUCUGCAGAAUGGCUUUAGUGCACUCUUAACACAACAGUUUCUGUCUUCAGAAGGAAUCCUCAAAGUAAAUCCUGGCAAUGGGAGAGAAGGACAGAAUAGCUUUCUGUUUCUGAAAGGGAAAUAGCUGUUUGCUUGAGACUACUUACUGGUAUGUGUCCCACUUGAAAUGUUGAGUGCUCCUGCCAAGUUUUACAGGGUGUUUAUUUAAUAUGAGUUUCUGCUGAAUGUGUAAAUUUUCUUGACUACGUUGUGCCUGACAUAUCCAUAUGUGAAACUUAAGAGGGCUGGUCUGCACAGGAACAAUCCAUAAAUGUAAGGAAAUUGGCUGAACACAUAAAGUCAAUACACCUAAAUUACUCUAUCUUAAACUCUCCUGCGGAUAAUUUCUUUCUGGAGUAGAGUGAUUUCAUUUUAUUGCAUAGUAAGCCAAAAGGUAAAAUUACUUCACAACUGAAUGAGAACAUCCACGCUGUGUAACUGACUGUAAUUGAGGGUGUUUGCAAACAUCCUCUGGUUAAUCUACAUUCUGGUUAAACUGAGCUAAGAAACCUGCUUCCCAAAACAAACCGUCAUCAUUCAGAAGGCAAAGGCUGCUGCCUUUACCUAUACAGCCAGCUAUCUAAGGACUCUGUCCUGUUUCAGUACAAAUUUAGGCAAACCGCAUUAAUAAUUAUUAAUAACUAAGUCACAUAAUUUGCUUAGAAGCUUUGAAGAAGUGCUCUACUGGCUGAAUUGGUAGAAUAAUGUGCAUUAGGUGAUGUAGCAACUAUCAGCUGACAAAGCAGGAGAUAAAAAAUUUUGUGCUGCUGUGAAUGAAGGUGAUUUUCUUCAUUCUCCAUUGUUCUUUUGUUUUCACUAUCGCCGCGUGGUCCGAACCAGAACUGACAGCAUCCUCUCCUUAUCAUUUACCAAAAUUCCUUGAAACUCAUCUUGUUCAUUUCGCUUUGGGUUAUCUUGAAAAAUGCUAUUGCAAAUGUGAUUAACUGUGCUCCUAAAACGGAAUUCUUUUCUUCAGAAUAUGAUGUCAUUCUUCAGUGCUGCUUAGAUGUAGGAGAAUUAGAAGGACAUUGAGUGCAGUUAAUUCCAUUGAUUGUUAACAGCACAAAUGAUACAAUCUAUUUAUUGUAUUCUUCACCUGGUUCAUGGCCAUAGCCUUGCUUAAAUAUGGUAAUAUUUCUAACACCUACACCCAUCCAGUGAUCAGGAGCCAUUGUGCUUUAGGUCAAAAAUAGGUUCCCACAUCUGACAUCCUGAAUAUGUUGUUUAUUGUUGUUGUAUAUGAAGCAGGUACAGACAGGCCAGGACAAUAAUUACAUUUAUUAAUAGUCAAAUUUUAUCCAGAUAUGGAAUUUGUGAAUAUACAACAUUGCUUUAUUGACAUACCUUGUCAAGUGGUGAAAACUGUAAGUAUAAUGUCCUCACUGAAGAAGAUUGAACCAGUGAAUUAUUCUAUUAGUAGAGUACGUAAUUUUUGUACGGAUAAAGCACGUAUUUGAUUUCCUAUGCUUGAAAUCACAUUUUAAAAUACUAAUAUUGCAAUACAGCCAGUAGGUGGCGAUAGCCAUUUAAUUUAUUAAACUAUGGCAGCUCCCCAGCUCACGCUCUCGUGUUGGUACUCACGUUACCUUUGAGCCUUACAAAAAAAGAAAUUAAAAAAAUCACUCUUGAAGAGUCUUUCUGAGUGUACUCUCAACUUUAUAGUUGAAGGAUUUGCUGUGCAGGGAAAUGCAACAGCAUUUGUCGGAGCAGUGUCAGAGUCAUGUCAAUUUAAGCUCCAGUUUCCUGUUCUUCUAUAUAUUGACAGUAUUAGCUUAUUAUGAAUUUUUCCUUACAUUAUAUAUAUGUUUAUGAUGUAUUCUUUAGCAACUAGGAACAAAUGUUCCCAAGGCCUUUUUUUUCUGUGGCAUGUAUAUAUGCCUUUGUACUUAGACUGAGGGAGCCACUUGAAAGCUGUAGAUUGUAUGCAGAUACCCACUGGUAGUAUAGGUGCAAUAUCAUAUAAGAUAAAAAAUUAGAUUUAUUUUCUCUGAAUGAUACAGAAUGUUAUUAUUGGUAGGAUAUGAAGAAGAAAAGGCUUGUGUAUAGUUCUUAAAAGUGUUUAGAGUACAAUAGCAGUGAUAGUUGGGAGUCUGUUUAGGACAAAGCCAUGAGGGGUUUUCUCAGAUUAGUGAGACAUUACUCUUAUAAAAUGUUAUGCAAUGCUAUUUUGAUUAACUGUGUGUUAAAAAAAUCUAGUCCUUGACUUGUCAAUAGAUUGGUUUUGUUUUCUGCAAAUAGACAUCAGGUGGCUCUGCUGCUUGAACCAAAUGUUCAGCUUUAUCUUCAGCCAGAAAUUUAAUAUGAAAUGAGAGUGAAAGAGAACGUCCAUGAAAGAAGAGGAUAAACAGGAGGCAGAUGGUCCAUGUGUGUAACUUGCAUUGCCAAAUAGUGGAUUAAGAUGAUCUUUUUGAAUGCUACUUCACAACCUUAGAGCAACUGAGAGAAGUUAGGUUUCCAUUAGCUAUUGAAUGAGAAAAUUUAUUCCAGUCUUCAUAAGAACAUCUCCCAUUUCCUGAACUAGAGGAGAAGAUGCUAAUCUAAAGAGUGACCUAGAAGCAGUGUAAGUAGAGGGAAGCACAAAAGUGCCAUCUCCCUGCAUGGUUCUAUCAAACCCAUUUACCAUACUGAUCAGAGACUGAGUCAGAGCUAGAAAGCAGAUGAAAUUCACAGGAAAACCAUUUGAGCAGUCAAUAAUUUUGCAGUUCGCAACAAUGCAUUAGAACUGUUUCUUCAGCCACAGUGUUGUAGGAUGGUUCCCCUGACUGGAGGGCUAUGAUGAAUUGUGCUCUGUAUAACAAAGCAGCUCAGAUGCAAGGAGCUUUGCUAUGAAAAGGACAAGUCUGUCAGCAGUUUAUGGGAUCAGAAGGGAGGCCAUGAAGCAGACAUAGUGAUAGGAUUCUGCUACUGGUUGCCCAGACAAGAAGAGCAUAGCCUUCCUUAAACAACUGGAAUAAGUCCCAUAGGCCCUGCUUCUCAAAUGGAGUCUUGAAUCAUUCUGACAUCUGCUGGAUGGACAUCACAUCAGGGAACAGGUAGCUGAUGAGAUUUCUGGAGUACAUGGGGGACAAUUUUGUGGUUCACUUAGGUAGACUGACUAGAAGGGCUCCACUGACCUGACCUUCUGAAUAUGUAAGAGCUGGUACAGAAUGAGAAAGCUUGACAGCAGACUUGGCUACAGUGACCAUAAAAAGAUGUUAAAGGAAUUAAGGAAAGGGAAUAGUAGUCUGACAGCUUAGGACUUUGUGGGCUUUUUCGGGGAAUUAGCAGGAAGGAUCUCAUGAGAGGUUGAAGGGCAAAUAUGCCCAGGAGAACUGGCUAGACAUCAAGGAUAUUCUAUUUAAAUCAGAAUAAAGAAAGAAAGAAAGAGAGAGAGAGAGAGAGAGAGAAAGAAAGAAAGAAUGGAAAAGCAAAAGAUAGCCUAAGCGUAGAAAAGAAAUGGAUAGAAGCUAGUAGCUGGAAGCAGGGUCAAGCCACCUGUAAGAAAUUAGGAAGUAUCACCUGGGUAUACAAUGAGGACCUCGAAUGGGAUAGGCAGUCUUGUACCAAAGGAUACAAACAAGUUCAGUGUCAUCAUUGCCUUGGUUUUUACUAGCAAGCUCUCCUCUCAGAUUUAUCAGGCUCCUUUUGUUCAGUAGCAAAACUUGAGAGAAAGAGGUAUUACAAAUGGUAAAGGACAAUCAAGUUAGAAACUACUUAAACUGGAAGUACUGAAGGUGAUAGGCCUGGAUGGGAUUAAUGCAUUUCAAGGUGCUGAGGAAGUUGGCAGAUGUCAUUACCAGGUACCUCUCUUUUAUCAUCCAAACGUUAUGGUGAACACAGCUGUUGGAUGAGUUGAGAAAGAGAAAUGUCAUGCUCGUCUUCAGAAGUGGUAGAAGAGAUCUGGAAACCAAGGGGUGGUGAGCCUUACCUCAGCCUGUUAGAAUCAUAGAAUCAUAGAAUCGCUCAGGUUGGAAAAGAUGUUAAAGAUCAUCAAGUCCAACCACAACCUGACCAUAUUACCCUAACUCUAACAACCCUCCACUAAAUCAUGUCCCUGAGCACAACGUCCAAAUGGUUUUUGUAAACCUUUUCCAGUCACAUAAAGAGAAGAAAGGUAAAUGGAAAGUGCUAGUGUGGAUUUACUGUGCCUGGCAAUCCUGAUUACUUUCCAUGGUGAGAUGAUUGGUUCUAUGGAUAAGAGUAGUGCCUGUAGAUUACCUUGAUUCUAGCUAGAUCUUUGUUCUAGUUUGUUAGAAAUUCUUAUAGACAAACAGAAGAGGUAUGAACUGGACGGCUAGACUACGAAGCUAGUGAUAAACUGGCUGGAUUGUUUGGUUUGAGGUGUAGAGGUCAGUACUUAAAAGUUUAAAUGACAACCAGUUGAAGAUGCAUCCCUCAAGUGUUGAUGCUAGAGAAAUUGUUUUUUAACAUCUUCAUCAACAAUCUUGCUGAUGGGGUAGGAUUUUGCUUUCAUGAACAACACCAAACUGGAGUGAGCAAUUAAUACCCUGCAGGGCUGGGCUGUCACUUGGAGGAACUUUGACAGCUAGAGAAAUGGGGCUGGUAGAGACAUCAUGAAUAUAAACAAAGUCCUGCACCUGUGAUGGAGUUAUGUCAUGCAUCCACCGGGAUAACAGCUCUGCAGGAAGGCACGCUACAGGCAAGUUGAACACAAGGGAGCUUUGUACCCUUAGGUGAUGAAGACCAACCAUCUAUUGGGCUAAGGUAGUAAAAGUAUAUCAAUCAAGCUAAAGGUAGUGAUUAUUCAUGUUUCAUGUUUGACACCACAUUUGAAAUACCUUUCCUAGCUUCAGGUUCCUUGGUACCAGCAAGAUAUUGAUUGACAAAGCGUGAACAUACGCAUGAAAAACUGAUGAGCAGAUAAACUGAUUGUUUUGUCUGGAUAAGGGUAAGGGUCAAUGAGUCUAACUGCUAUCUGAGGAGGCUUAGGAAACUCCAUGCCAGAGGACUUUUUGAAACAACAUAUUUAACUUGAAGUUGGCUCUACUUUGAGUAGGAGAGGGCACUUGGUGAUCUUCAGAGGUCCCUUUCAAUACAUUUUCUUCUGUGAGUGAAUGAUUAUCUUAACAUGAGGCCUUAAUGCGAUUACUGGCAAGCUAGAUAUGUUUCAUAGAAAUCAUUAAAAUUAAAAAAAAAAAAAAAGUGUAAUUCUUCAUCAAAGUCUCCAGGUAAUGAAGACAGUGAGCAGUCUGCAUUUAUUAAUCAUGCUUACCUAUAGCCAAAGCAGAAAAUAUUUCAAAUAUCUAUCAGUGCCCUGAGCACACUAAUGGCUUGAGGGUACUAAUGCCCUGUCCCUGUCCACUGCUGAGGCUCCCUCACAUGGCCAGGAUCACCACGUCAUCCCAGUGCCACUCACCCCUGCCCCAGUAAGGCAGCAGGGAUGGGCUCCAGCUCCCCACAACCCUGCCCUGCCUGACCAUAGUCUGAUGCAGUUUCCGAAGGGCCGUGAAGGUUGCCAUGAGCACCAAGAGUACUUUUUUGUUGUUGGAAUUUUAUUUUAUUUUUUACUUCUGCUGUUGUGGCUAUUUGAGUUUAUGUCAAUAGUUUAAAUGCAUGGUGGAGUAAGAAGUUGAACAUGGCUCUCCCGUGCCCUUUCUGAAGGUUUUAAACACUGAGCUGUAAAAUCAUUACGAAGGGAAAAGUAAAAUUAGUAUGCAAAGUUUCUUUCUCAGGACUAUACACAGUGAUUAUAUCCCUUUUACAUACUGCUAACACAGAGCUCAUAUGUAUACCAACGCUGUGGUAGAAAUUUGUCUUUGAUUGCGUUAAUUUCUUUUCAUUGAAAACUUUGGGCGUUUCUCAGAGAGAAAAACAUCUCAAAUAUAUUUAUGAGCUGGGGAUUUUCUUUCCCAGGCGGUUUGCCUUGCAGAAAAGAUGAUCUCAUUUGCUGAGCCAUGCUGCCAGCAUUCUUCCUUUUCAUGAAAGGAAAUUAUGGCUCCUGUGAAAGUGUCACAAAUGACACGGAGGGUUGGCAGCACAGAAUCAUUAUUGCUUGUUGAGUAAACAUUUUCAAGCAGAGAAUAAAUAAAUCCUCAUCAUAACUGAGGAUUUGGAGAGGGGUAAUAGAGAACUGUAUUAGGACAUUGUUAGCAUUUAAAUGUGCCUGUUACCAAGCUAUAGCAAAAUUAACUACCGUGACUACCAUUACACUGUCUUGCAACACUUGUCUUGUGCCCCCUCCCCGGCGCUCCUUGGCCCCCUAAUUUUUCCCACAGAGCUGGGUGGUGUUUCCCACCCGGCCUUUGCCCCCAGCAGCAAAGAGAGGCAUCUCUGUCUGCUGACUGAGCUCCCCAUAGCCCCUUCCAAACUUGCAGGGAAUUUCUCUGCACAAAGGGUGGCUCAGAGCUGGCAGGUGUGGGGUGCGGGUGGCUAGGAAUGGGGGGAAUGUGAUUAUGUGUCAGGGAGGUGCAGGAGGGGAAGGCUUCUCUUCUGCUGUGUGCUACAGGCUUCAUCACGUGCUGCUGACCUCAGCACAAGAUCAGCUCACAAUGUAAAGACCCCUACCUGUCUCAUUUUCAAAAGGUUUUAUUGAGUUUUACUACUCUGAUGGUAUUGGGUAUAUGUAAAUUUUAUAGAAGAGUCACAUGGUGACUCCUACAAUUGAAGUGACUUUUCUUUUAUUGUUCUUUUAUUUUCUGCCCAAAUGAACACGUUAUUUGGGAGUGUGCUAGUGACUGGUAUCUCUGACAGUAUGACAGUGAACUACUUGCCUGACCUUAAAACAGCGACUGCAUUAUGUUGGUACAAGUUCCUGCUAUACUGUUAGUGGUUUGCAUGCUUGAAUUCACACUUUGCAAGGCUUUGAAGAAGUGGCAGUUCACACAAGAUUGUAGGGGAUGAAAGAUGACCUUUAAAAGUCUCAGUGAAGCAGCACAGCAUACUUUCUAACUAGAAUGGAUGUUCAUACAGGCUGAUGACCUGGAGGUGAGAGCACAGAUUUUGUCUUGGGUGCUGGCUAGCAGAAAGAUCUUAGUGCAUGAGCUUUUUAUUUAGGAAUUCAUUUUUCUAGGGGGUCCUUAGGAAUGGAACAUCACUCUCCUUAAGGCGUGUCUGAAACUGCAGCUGUUCAUCCAGUUUAUUGCACUUCCGGAGGCCGAAAGUUUGCUUUUUGUAGCUUAGAAAACCUCUUUGUAGGUUUUCUAUGUCCGGCAGUUGACUGAUGGUCAUCGUUUUCUCCAUUGUCCCAUUAAUGCUCAAAGGCUUUAAUUUGGAGAUAUUUUAUUUUUUUAUUAUUUUAUCUUUAUAAGGAAAAACAAUGAUAGAGAGCUCAAGGCUGUACAUGUCUUUCUAAACUCAGUAGGACCAGUUUUCUGAACUCUAGCUCUGUCACCAAGAUCAUGGGCAGACUCUGGUCCAAAUUUCUUACAGCCAGCUCCCUCUAAAGCAUGUGUCCUGGAUUCAGGAAGAUGGAGUGUUGCAAACCAAAGCAGAGGAGGAGGCUGCCAUCUAAGCAGUGUGAAGUCCACUGCAUGAGCCUGCUCAUGGUUGUUUUUGUGUUGCUGUCUUUUUUAGUAUUUAUUUUUUUACAUAGCAGUGUCAACAGACCUUGAGAAAACAGACAAAAUACAUAUCACUUUUAUUCUGCCAAUACAUACAGAAUGCCACCUCUGGAUGUAUUUGUACUACUUUCAAGGCAGUGUACCUAGUAGAUGUCAAUACAAGCUCAGUUGGACUAUCCAUAAGAAAUGAUUAUUGUAUAAUUGUAGUAUUUUACACUGAAGGACUGGAGUGAUGGCUGCACUCAGUUUUUGAUAAAUGAAAACCUGCUGCACUAAAUGAGACGGUUAAUUCACCAAAGCAUGUUUACUGUGGAAUUCACACCCAACUGCAGCAUAUGUAUGUUACUAUUACAUAAUGAAUAAAUUAUUAUGAGCUGCGACCCCCAGAGGCAUCCAGGUGCCUGAGUGUCUCCCCUCCAGUGAGUGAACUGCAGCCACUUUGACUGGUGGUAGCUGGUGCUUAGCAUACCCAGCUCAGAAGUAAGUCUCCAGGCAUCCAUAAGAGGCUUUCCAGUAAACAAGAUAGCCCCUCUAAUGAUGAAUGAGUUCUUCUUUAUUCUUAUGGCUUGAGGUAUUUAUCUUCUUGCAUCAUUUUCUGAUUUCCAGUGCUAUAGUAAGACUGCUGUAAUUUGCAAUGUAAGAGUAGUGUGAAGCUCAGUUUGUUCUGUUUAAUAUAGUGUGUGGACUGAAAUUCAAGUAGAUAGCAAUAUUUCAAAGCAAAUAAAUACAUCUGUGUAAGUCAAGACAAAUGCUAAAGCAUAAUCAGUCUCAAAGUGAAGUAUAAUUUGACCAGUGAAUGAAUUCACCAAGCUGCUAGCAGUGAAGAAAUUGGAGUUCCUUGGCACACGAAAGAAGUUUAUUGCCUAGAGAUGAUAGUGCUUGUCUCCCUGUGGACUUGUGGGGUAAAGCCUCACAUCAGCCUCACAUAUGCUAAUAAAGAUCAAUAUUUCUUAUUUUCUCUUCUCAUAGUAAGGAAAUUAAUCCAUGGUGUUACUUUAGAAAAAUAACCCAAGUGGUAGAUUUGGGCAGAGAAAUUCUUACCUACACCUCAGUUUUAUUCCACAGGAAGCCUAGUGAUUACUGCUUUGCUAAUGCAUGAGCUUAUUUGGAAAAGCAGCUUUGAGCAUGCAUAUGAAAUGGUAGCCACCCUUUGCCACUGCAUGGGCCAUUCUACUCUCAGCCCUUUGUUUUAGUAAAUAUGUUCCCAGUGGGGCAAAAUUCUUGCCAAGCCUCUUAGAAGGUGUCCUUAUACCCAUACUUCAGUUUUCCACAUAGACUUUUUUUUUUUUCUUUUUCCCCUCAACUGUUUGUUGUUAAUACAGCUUCAGGUUUCCAUUAGUACAAUAUUUGAGUGUCUCAGUCUAAAGUGUGUUUAUUUUUUCAGGUCCACGUGAAACAGGGAAGGCUCUCUGAUAUUUCUUUUCAGGUCAUACUUUGGUGGGGAGAGAAUAGAAACACAGAGAAGCUCAGAUUCUACAAUACAGUGAGGUGCCAGACUCCUACGUGUCAGAAAUUCCUCCAUGUGUUGGAGGGUCUGAGCAUGGCUUGGUUCACAUCACAAAGCAAGUAUGUGGCAGACUGGGGAAUGCAGACAAUGAAUUGGCCUGCUGUGCCUCCAGUGAAAAUGGGCUUGGAGGGCACGCAUUUAAUGACCGUCCAGAAACAAGAAGCAAAGGCAGUGAGCAGGAGGGUUUGGAAAAGAGUGGUGCAUUUCUUACGUAGGGUCUUUACUGGAUCAAACUAAGGUGUGGCUGUACCUGUCAGCAUGAAUUGUUACUGCACUCGGAAGAGGCUGUUCAUUGGAAGAUACUCAAAUUAAAAACAGAGUCCUGUAUUUUCAAGAACUGCAGGGCAAAGGGAAAGAAUAUUCAUACCAAACAUUUUUAACAUACAUAUAUUGGUAUUAUUGGCCCUAGCUCCUGACUCAGUGACAAAAGCAUAUGUGCAUAAAGUGAUUUCUUUGAGGUAAAGGUCAUUGUUCAGUCUGCGCAUGCUGAAUGUCUUGUGUUAACCUUCUCUUUAAGCAUAAGAGCAGACCUGCCACAGUCUCCAUACAUCUUGCCUUUCCUUUUGAAUCACAAAGGAUUCACUUCACUUAUAACAGCCCGACUAAACGUGGUGCAAUUCCAACACUACAAUAUAUAUAUGUAUAUAUAUAUAAAAGAUGUAUCAAGUUUUUAAAAGAAACUUCUGGAAGCUUAAACAUAGGAAUGAAGGAAUGAAGACUCAGGGCUUUGUGCAAAGCCCCGGGGACAGCCUGCGACUUUGCUGGAACAAAAGUUUCACUAUAAAUACAUUGCGAAAAGCAAACAUAAUGUAGAUAGGUUCAUUGUAUUUCUCUUGCACCUUCUCGCUUUUGUUUAAGUUUAAACCAAUCUUUUGGAACUAUGAGUCAUUUUCAGAACAGAGAGUGAUUCAGGAGAUGUAAUCUUUGUGUUUUAUAGGCCAACAUCAUUAGAUAGGCCCUAUGCAAAUUAACAGAAGCGUUGCUGAACAGCAGUGACUGGCUUACCAUGUAUUUAUGGUUGCUUCUAACUCUCAGCCAGAAAACAUAAAUGUCUCUCUGGUGGAAACGUGUUUGGUGAGCAAUAACCCUCUCAGUUGGAGAAGAUCCAUCUGUCUUUCCUUCUACUUCAUGCAUCUUCACCACUGAAAAGAAGUUCAAGGAAAAUCAAGUUUCAGUUGUCAAAAAACCUGAUGCUUAAGAAUGAUUCUGUGAAAUAGACCAAAAAAAAGCAGCUGAAUAUUUUGUGGCUUAAUUUCAAGAUUCCCAUCGGUGCUAUAAAAAUACAAUUGAGUUUUAACUACUGCCUUCAUGCUAUCAAGAUGAUCCUGUAAAACUUAACUAUUUUGGUGUUUGCUAUUAUCUGAUUCUUUAGCAUGAAGUGGAAAGCAAAAGUAUUUUCCAAGAUUAUAUUAAUAUUUUCUUUCAGUUACAAGCUACAUCAAUUAAUUUCUUUAUAAACUCUACUAUAACAAGUUCCCACUGAUUCUUGGUUACUAUAAACAACAUCUGGGUACUGCACUGGUGCACAAGUUCUGUAAACACAUACUUUUAUAUCCAUCACAUCCUGAUGUUUCACAAGGAUAAAGCUGAUGUUCCCCUAAAAAAUAGAGAAGGCAGAUGCCUGUAGUGAUUUCACCGAAGUUACAACGUGAAGCAUGUGUGAUGUUAGGUACUUUACAGUACUUCUAAAGGGAGAAAGAAUGUGGCCGCAGAAAGGGAAUCCUGCCCGCAUGUUUGAUUCUUGAAAUGCACGUUAAAAGAUUUUUAUAUAUAAUAAAAGGCAAACAGUAAUAGAACCCCGCAGAUGGAGACAACUGUAGCACAGAGAGUGAAAAAUGUCUCACCGUCGGGCAGUGGCAGAACCAGCAAUGAAACACAAACCUCUUGCUCUGCUGGUUUACUCUCCAACUAAUUCACAUAAUAGGGGGUAGGGCUCUUUGCAGUGCUUCAGGCUGAUGGAGGUUACGCCUACAUAAAGUCCACACUUUUACCCUUGUACAAAGCCCCAAGCCCCUUUUACUUGCUUUUGGAGCCCUCCCAGAGACCCUGUAGCUCAGAGGGGAUCUGAGUGUGGGUCAAACAGCAGAUAACAGCUGAGAAGGGUUUUAAGAAAAGGUUUCUGGCUGCUUCUUGGCUGUUUGCUUCCCGGCUGAGGAGGGAGCCCAUCUGUGCAAGCCUUCCUCCUUCAUUUCAGUGCUGGCAGCGAGCUGCAGUCUCUGCUUAGGAGCAGUGCCACGAGCUGUGCCUUCCAGGAACAGGAGAGGAUGCAGCGUGCCCGUGUGGGUGUGUGGUGCACCCUUUGGGCCCCAGACGCAGGGACAAGACAAGCACAAAAGGGAGAGUAGGAAAAUGGAAUAUGCACAACUGGUUUAAUGCCAUGGGUUGUACACGUUUCUGAGACCAGCGUUUGCACUCAUUACGUGAUGUGCUUUCUCUUUAAUGGAAUUCUCUUAGACGUGCUGCUGAUAGGCUCUCUUCCCAUCUCUCCUUGAAUUCAAACAUUAUGGCUGAUUGAAAAAUAAGCAUGCAUUUUUCUGCUUUUUUCUUCUUUCGGUGUUUUUUUUUGGUCAGGUGGAAACAAUGAGGUGAACUCAUUUGUGACAGGCCCUUCUUCAGGCCUCUCCAACGUGGUCUGUAAUGAGGGCACAGUGGAAAUUCCACAAAGAAGCCCAGAAGCUUUUAAGUUUGGGCAACCGUGUUGUUGUCUGUGUUUUAUUCGCAUCAAUCAGGUUUUUUUCACACCCAUCUUAGCUUCUUAUUGGUACCACAAGUCAACGCUUGCUGGAAAACGCCACCCUUGGAAAACAACCUGUAACGUACGACUGCUGUCUCUUCGUGUAUUUUCUGCUCAGAUCUUAACAUGCGCUUCCUCUGAAGGCCACCAGCGAUAAUAUUCACUCCCUCUCCAGAACCACGUGAGUAAAUACCUCCUCACGCAGGUGAGGAUUGGGCUGGGCACAAACAAGAGGAGGAUGCCAAGUAAACACAGGACUGCUGGGCAGCUUUGGUGGAUCCCAGUGCUAUUGUCUGGGUAAUUCAGGGGAAGGUUUCACUAAAAUGGUGUCCUUGUCACGCGAAGCACGGAAAACAGCUUCCCCGCUCCGGCUAGCAGUGGUCCGUGAGUAACUUGCCUGCAUGACGGCCGCCGGCCAGCAGGGGGCGCCUGCUUCGUGCAGCCCCUGGGCUGUUUAAUGCCUGGGGCCUCCGUGCACGAACGAGGUCGUUGCUGCCCGCGAGAGGCUGUGUAGCGAGGCCCCGCCCAGGUGCUAGGGCAGCCUUGCAGGGUGAAUGCCUUCCUUAGCGGUGAAGGCAGCUGGAAGUUUGCUGAUGGACAGUGUGAGCUGACCACUCCUCUUGCGAGGUCACACCCCCUGCAGGAUGCUUAGACCAAGUCAGGACUCAGCAGGGGCUUUCAGUCAUCCCACUGGCUGUAGGUGUUAAGGUUUUGCAUUUGCUUUCAAAGCAACCAGAAGUAAUGGUGUUUUUUGUUUGUUUGUUUGUUUGUUUGUUUGUUUCGUUGCACAUCUCCCCACUUGCUUGGGAGGAUCUGCCCGGAAAAUGGGGAGCUGCAGCCCCCGGGGAAUAGCCAUGCUGUUGAUGGGAGGCUGGGGACAAUGGUGAGACUGUUCCACUGUAGGAAAGGCAGCUGAAGGCUCAGACAAGAGGAGCACGCGGGAACAGGCUUUGUGGCUCAGGCUCUGCAUGAAAGCGCUUAGCACAGGACAGGGAGCACAGUUUCAGUCCCAGGUGUCUACCUGUCUUUGGUUAUUCAAUGCAUAGUGGUUAUUAAAAUGAAGAAAUCAGAAUUCCUGAUCCAGCUUGUUCUUAUUUUUCCCUCUCUCUCUCUCUCUCUCUCUCUCUUUUUUUUUAAUGAAACAGAAGUCUGAUUGUGGUGCCAUCCAUGUAACAGAAUGCUGUUGGUGUGUGCUGGUGUUCUCUGUUCAUGCACGUAAACCUGGGACUCCCAGGGAACUUAAGAAGCAUGAGCCUUGUUUGUGAAUCUCCAGAUGGGGGCAGACAUUGAGAUGCACGGCUAGAAUAUUAGGCUGGGAUUGAUUACCCCAGUUCAGCUGUCAGGGAGCAGAAAGAAUUAAACCAAAGUCUCCUGGAUCCCAGGAAAAUGGCAUUACCGAUACCUCAACAUUUGGAGCAUCACACAAACACCGUGUGCUGUGUCAGAGCAGGACAGACGUGGUGUGAAAAACCUGCAGCACGUAAGCCAUGUUAAGAAAACGUUAUACUGCAGCCCAGUCCUUCACUGUGCCAAAAACAUGGAAAACUUGUUAACUGAAAUGAGAAGAAUAAGGAAAGACUGCAUGAAGCUCCCUCCUAAUACUUCCCAUCCAUUGUGCUUCAUUUUUUUUCUGUUCUGAGGCACUGCCUUUGCCUGAAGUGCCACACUGAAGUGCUAAUGCUUACGUGUAAGUUUGCUCUGCUUGGUUACAACAAUGCCUUCAUGCUGUUUAUUUUUGCGAAAUAAAUGUGAACCUCUGUAGGGCCCUGGUGCCCUUGUGUUUUGCAGCAAAGGUCAGGAGUCUAUUCAUAAGACUUCCAAAGUGUUAUUGUUAAAACAUCACUUUGCUAUGUCACUGUUUUCCCUUUCCUCUCCUCACUCAAAAUAAUACAUUGUCAUUAGCAGCUCAUAACCCUCUCUGUCUAAGCACAGCAUAUUCAGCUUUCCUUGAUUUUUUUCCCAAGCUUCCUUCCUAUUUAAACAAAGAAUUGUUUUCAUCAGUUUGGGCUCAAAUAUUCCUAGCCUUGCUGUCAUGAAAAAAAAAAUAUGACUCUGUUUUAUGCCACAAUUUCUAAUCGCUGCAUUUUUAUUGCUGUUACGAGCAUUGUGAUUUAUUCCAACAGGAACAUAUGUUCUUAUAUUGGCAUUCUUGCAGUGUUCACUCUGACCUUUGUGAGAGCCUAUCUGUGGAUAAUGUGACCAAAACUUUAGGCUUUUAAUAUGUUUGUCAGCUUAUGAAUCCCUGUAAAUGAUACCUGAACAAGAAGGGAGAAUGAGAGAAAGAUGUGCUAUUGUAACUCAGUAACUGUGUGUGUUGCUGGCUCCUAAUAACUAAUAACUCAAGGUUUGUCAGUUACACCACGUAUAUUGAUUUCAGAAGUCUUUAACUUAGCAUUUAAUUUCUUACUCAAUGACUUUUAAAGUCAGAAAGAUCCACCUGAUUAUCCAAAAUGCCAUUUUCAGUGAUGUGGACUCAAAGUUAUUACUGAAGCAAUCUUUAUUCUGAGCCUAGCAUGGCGUCCCUGACCAAAUUUCAUCCCAUGUCAAAGUUACUGGUCCUCCAUCUAAGCACACAUACUGAGUAAACCCAAAACUUGCUCACCGCAUGCCAGAAGUUGACCAUAUUCAUUGUUAAAGAAUGUACAUACUUCUUCAGAUUUAUCUAUUUUGAUGUCUUGAAACUAAUGGUUUCAGUGCAUUCUUUUACAUUAGAAAAUUGUAUUUUUCCCUCUGAGAGCAUUUAUUCACUCUAAGCAGACCUCUGGGUCUUCAUUUUGAUAAACAGAAUAGAGGAAGCUCUGUAGGUGUCUUAGUUAGCAGGGCAAAUUCUGUACCUGAUGAAUAAUAAGGAAAUUCAACCCUGCCAACUUCUGUAAGGGAUCAACAGACUGAGAGUAGCUAGCGUCCAUAUUGCAUCAGGUAUUGCCAAGCUGUCCCUGGAAGUCUUGUUAGUAAGUUGAAGAGCUGUGUGUAAUGACUGGUUUUGAAAUCAGUGUCUUUGAUCUCUUAAUCAACGACUGGCAUAUAAAAGAACAGGGCCAUUAGCAAAAGUUUUCAAUUGACAGUUAUGCUGAGGCUGAAGGUCAGCUGGAAAAAGGAAAUUAAUGGAACAUUCAACUGAAGUUAUUAGUCAGGCAUAUUGUUAUGGGUGGUUUUGGAAGUACAGCAUUUGAAAGAACAGCCUGGUCUAGUAUUAAAUGGGGAGGUUGGUGGCCCUGCCUGUGGCAGGGGGGUUGGAACUUGAUGAUCCUUGAGGUCCCUUCCAACCCAAGUCAUUUUAUGACAAUAUUCGUUCCUUUUUUUUCCACUUUCGUGAAACUACUGCUGUGAUUUUUGAGGGAAAUGUGAUUUACGUGAUCACAGCAACUGUCUCUCCAACUCUCUGCCGUAGGUUAUGAAAUCUUUGGCUGGUCCUAUUUUUUGGGGAGAUACCUGGGAGGAGGUUAGACAGGUCUGUGUUGCUGCAGAAGGAGAGGCAGGUAUAACUCAGCCAUCCAACACUCUCCUUGAUGGUAGCAGCUGACCCAUCAGCAUAUGCGCAGGGCUGGCUGGCUAACACACACACAAGCUUUUUCUUUGGGGUGAUAAGGAGGAGGCAGCAGCAAGUGUUUUAGAGGCUGAAUUGGGCUAUUGCAUUAGUGAUGCUGGAAUAAAGGAACAAAGGAUACAUUUUCAUAGGAAACCAAUCUUCCUGUGGAGUUCUAUGAACUGCAGAACUAAUCAUGAACUGUGGGCAUGGAUACUGUGUGGAGUGUUGCAUGCUCAGAAGAGAUAAUUUCCUGUAAAUCAGAUAUAGAUGUCACAAAAUUAAAGAUGCUACCUGUGUCAGUUGCUAGUGGCUAUAAGAAAGAUAUUUGCUGUUUUUGGAUUUUUAUAUCUCUAUGGCUUUGUUGAUAUGAGUGAACGAUUAUUUGUCUAAAAAUGUGGUCUGCAUUAUACAACACUCUAUAGUGCUGUGAAUAGGAGUCUGCAGGCUGAGGCAGGCAAGAGAUUUCUCUGUGAUUAUAUAUAUAUAUCUGCCAUAACACAAAUGGAAUAAAAUAUUCCUACCAGCUCUGACUGUCAUCCACUUCUGGUAAUUAAUAUAUUUUGUGAUGACUUUUACUGUCCCCACAAUGAAUUAUUAUCCUACCUAUUGCCUUAAAUGAUUAGUAACACAAAUUCCAAUAUCCUGGCCCAUUAUACUGACAAGCCAGCAAUUAUAUAUCCAAAUGUAUGGACUCGCAAGAUAGGCCAUCAUCUCUUGGAGAAACAAGUUCAGAGCAAUGCAUGUCAGCCAGAAGAUUAAGAGCGCCAUGCUAGCUCAAAGAGCGAGUUUCAGUUCUUAUGAUGUCACAUCAGUAACUUCUGGAUUAAUGGCCACCUGAGAUCAAGAUGAUACGCCUAGAAAAAUUAAUGAUGGUACAGUAAAGUGCAUACGGGUCAGACAUGUGAGUGGUGAUCAGCGCUCGUGGAGCUCUUGGGAUUACUGAUGAGCAUCUAGGAGUAGGCUAAAAAGGAAGUAUCAAAAAUUGUUUGUUUACUUUUAAAUAUAAACAAGCUACAGGCCAUUAAAUCUAUUUUCUUUAUCCUUGCAUUUUUCAAAUAAAAAUUGUUUUAAGAAGCCUUCUGACAUGAAAUUACAGUCCUAAUUCAAGAGGCUUUGGCUCAUUCGAAGAUCUUUAAUAUAUUAUUUUUUUUAUUUAAUAAAGGACAAGCAGUCUUGAUACUAUCAAAAAAGACUGUGUCCCUGACAUAGAGUUCUCGGUAAAUAAUAUAACAUAUAGUAUAAUGUACAAGGUCUGCUCCAAAAGUAGUGCCUCCUAUUUUAUCAUAUUGGCCCACAGUGACAGAGGUGGCUAUUGGUGUUAUGGCAGUAGAGGGUGAACUUUCCCACCAAUAUCCUGUUACAUGUUAUUGCUGUGUGACAGAUGGCAUCGGAGGGGCAGCCUGACACAAUGGAGUCUGACGUGGAAGUGCGGAUGAAGCAAAGGGGUGGCGCUGAACCUCUCCAUGUGGAAAAAAUGGUACCCAUUGACAUUCAUUGACACUUUCUGAACUUUUCUGGAGACCUAACAGUGGAUGUGAACACAGUGAGGCAGUGUGUGGUGCAUUUCAGCUGUGGCGGCAGUGACAGCGUUCACCUCUGCUGGUGCAGAUUUUUAUGAGUGUAGAAUGCAUUCUCUUGUUUAUCUAUUAUUCUCUUGUUUAUCUUGUUAUUCUGGUGAGAAUGCAUAGCUAAUGGUGGUGACUGUGUUGCAAAAUAGCGUUUUGUAGCUGAGGAUCUGCUCUGUCAAACAGUGUUACAGGGCUCUUUGUAUCUGUCAUAGUUUCCAUGGAAAUAAAUAGGAGGCAUUACUUUCAGAUUGACCUAGGUAUAACAUAAGAUGUAUUAUGCAAUGCUGUGUGUUACGUGUGUUAUAUAUAUAAACCCAUGAAUUUUUAUAACAUGCAUUACCUAAUAUAUGCUAUAUGCAAUUUUAAACAGCCAGGUAUAAUGCCUCAUGGCUCUUUUGUUAAACCACAGAGCACACAAUUAUUUAGACUGCCAUCUGAAUGGACAUUCUAAGAUACACAAAACAUUACUUGCUGUAAAAUCUUAUUAUGUGUGGCUAAAAUACUACAUCUGUCCAGAGGUAGUUUUGAGUUGUAAAACAUAUUCAUGGUUUUCUAAAGUGCAGUUAUGUUGAUUCAAGCAAUCUCAUCUAAAUUAAAAUUUUCUAUUCAUAUCCUUUGUCUCAGAGAAUCCCUAUCUACUGAAAUGGGAAGUAGAAGAUUUUUCUGAUUACCCAUUCUGCAAAUUGAGACUGAGGUGGAAGAUUCACAGUCAUUUUUGUUGGUUUUGCCUUCUUUCAGGCUGAACUCUCCCCAUUCCCUGUUAACCUCCCAGACACAAUUCCUCUCCACUUCACACUACAAUUGCACCGGAGCGCACCAACUCCGUAAUAAAUCUUUCCUUUACCUAAUAUUUUGUCUGUGGGAGUCUUGAUGAUAGCAGACUUUUUGCAGAAAUUUACAUUUUGUUUAGACUUCAAAUGUAACUGCUAUGAAAACUUUUACAUACAAAAUCGCAACAGCAUUAUUCCCCUCUCCUAUUUUCAAUGCUAUGGGCUGAAGCUAUGCAGAAUGCUUCAUAUCUUCAUUCCUCUUUUUUAUUACCUCCUUAUUCUCUUCAGCUAAUAAAAAGCAAAACAGCAGAAAGGGAAAAGUAUCAAUUUGGUUCAGACAGAAAAACAAACAUCUUCCCUGUCUUUGGCAGAUGAGUAACAGAUUACAGAGUCUGUUUCUACCUCACCAAAAGCCAGAGAAAAAUAUUAUGAAAACUGUUGAAUGAACUAAAAAAUAUUUCCACUCCAUUUCUUUAUGAUGCAGUCUAGCAUUUAUUACCAGUUCAGGAACUACAUGGUUAGUUUGGACUGCGAGAUUUUGCACUGUGUUGAAGAAAAAAAGUUGAUAUAUAUAUAUUUUUUUAAUCAGUUUUUGAAAAAUCUUAGAAACUGGAGAGCAGAAUAGCUUCCAUUAUCUGCUGUAUAAAUGUCUAUAAAACAAGGAGCAUACAGUAUGUAAUCAGUCAGUACUUUUUACAGUGUGAUUCCUUGCUGCAAAGACUUUUUUUAUUUAGCACUUGAAAUGAUCCCAAAUUUGUUGUGCCUGACUGACUUACAGAACGAUUGUAAGGAGGUGGCCAGAAUUAGAAUAUUAUCUGCAACAAGCUAAAACUGUGAAAAGUGCAGAAUAAAACAGUUGGUAAAGUGUUACUAUGAGCAGAGAUAAGGGAAGCUAGGCUGUCUGAGAGUAGAAGCACUGCAUUUAUGUAUUCUGUGUAGUAGUUCCUAACAUGAGGUAGAUUUCCAUCAUUCCAUCACCAUUAGGGAAAGCACACCAACUUCUCUGCUGAUGAUAUUGCAGAACACUGGAGUGUACGUCUGUGUGGUUGUGAACCAUCCAUGGCGAGUGUGUGUGUAUGUUUUUGGGGAGAGCUCCUUGGAGAGGUCCAAAGUGGGGCCAGAGACAGAGUUAAGGGACAAGCAGAAGCCCAUUUCUGGGGCUCAUUAUUUUAUUUCAGCAAAGCAAUGCUUCAUCGGUGGCAAAGCUGGAUCCCACCUUCACGUUUGUCCUCCAAAGUGAUGUCCACUCAUGUGAUGGAAAAUGUUAUACUUCUGAUGAUCAGCAAUUACUGAUUCUUUGCUAUCUUCACCAAAUUUAAGUUGGAGGAUGAGUUUGUUGGAUCUCAGCUUCUAACUACUGUGUCUCAUUAGCCAUUAGUUUUAUUAAAUCUCUGCC
ensembl:lncRNA